rnacentral:lncRNA from 1 species
GUCUGGGGAGUGGAGUCCAUUAUUGGGGCGAGCUGAGCAGAGGGCCUGGCACACCGUGGCCCCUGCAAGUGUCUGGGUGGCUUCAGCCCUUCGAUGGGAGGGGGUCGGAGGAGGGGGGGAGGUGUAAUAAUGAUACGGGUGGUGUUAUCAGGCGCAUUUCAAAGAUGUGGACACCGAGGCCCAGACAGGUGCGGGCCCGGGGCUGGAAGGGGGAGAGCCAGGCCGGACCCAGGGCGUCUGCUGCGCAUCCGCACCCUCAUCACAGCGGAGCCUCCGCCCUCCGCCCCGAGCCCCUCACCUGCUCCCGGGGGCCGGCCCAGGCAGGGGGAGGGUGCCCGGGGGGCCGGGGCCGGUCCGUGGGGCUCGUCUCACCCUGUUUCCCCCUCGGCCAGGUCCCCCACCGUCGCCAAGCCCCCCGAGGAGGCGGCGGCAGGAGCGCACGGUGUACAGUAAGGAGCAGCAGCAGGAGCUGGAGAGCAGCUUCCAGACGAACAAGUACCCGACCUACGAGGACCGCGAGGCCCUGGCGGCCCGGCUGGCUCUGCAGGAGCGCCAAGUGCAGGUGUGGUUCAAGAACCGCCGGGCCAAGGAAUCCAGGCCGCGAGGCCGCGGAGCCCGCGCUGUGCCCAGGGGCCCCGGAGCCCCAGCCCCGCCCCGGGUGCCGGUCCCUGUUCCUGCCGGACCCCCGCCCCCCGAGGGCCCAGGUUUCUGCAGCCCCCCUCCGCCCAGCGCCGCGAGCAUCUUCCCGCUAGCAGAGCCCAGCAUCUGCAGCCCCGGCCAGGCCUGGUGGGGCCCCGCGCACGGCGCCCAGGACGUGGUCCCUGCUGCUCCGGCCCCGGCCCCGGCCUGGCCUCACGACCCCUACGCCUCGGACUUCUCGCCGGACCCUGUUGCAAUCCCUGACUUCACCGCGCUCUUCUCACCCCGUGACCCCUGCGAGGGACCCGCCCCCUCCUGCGCGUCUGGGUCCCAAAAGAGGGAGGACUCUGCGGAUGCGAACGGCUCGGGCCCCGCGAGGUUGCAGGAUUUGUAGAGGGUUCUGUCCCUGAAAAGCCGCGCAGACCCCGCGGGGCCAGAGGGGACCAGGGUGUCGUCGGCCUGCACGUGCGUCCACGCGGGCGCGGGGAGCGGCGGCGGGUUGGUCCUCGCAGCUGGGGACUCCUGUGGCGCGCGGACGCUCCUCGUUUAUCCGACCCGUGGACGCACCUCGUUUAUCCGACCGGCGGACGCUCCUCGUUUAUCCGACCUGCAGACGCUCCUCGUUUAUCCGACCCGCGGACGCACCUCGUUUAUCCGACCGGCGGACGCUCCUCGUUUAUC